UCGUCAGUGACUCAGAGGUUUAGAAUUCUCGUUUGCCACACGAGCACUCCGGUUUCGAUUCCCGACCAAUUAA